UCCUCCCUCUGGCGGCGUGCUUAACACACGCAAGUCGAACGGAAAGGCCCUGCUAUUGGGGGGUGCUCGAGUGGCGAACGGGUGAGUAACACGUGAGUAACCUGCCAUUGACUUUGGGAUAACUUCAGGAAACUGGGGCUAAUACCGGAUAGGAGCUCCUGCUGCAUGGUGGGGGUUGGAAAGUUUCGGCGGUUGGGGAUGGACUCGCGGCUUAUCAGCUUGUUGGUGGGGUAGUGGCUUACCAAGGCUUUGACGGGUAGCCGGCCUGAGAGGGUGACCUGCCACAUUGCGACUGAGAUACGGCCCAGACUCCUACGGGAGGCAGCACUGGCGAAUAUUGCACAAUGGUCGGAAGCCUGAUGCAGCAACGCCGCGCGCGGUAUGACGGCCUUCGGGUUGUAAACCGCUUUCGCCUGGGACGAAGCGUGAGUGACGGUAAUGGGUAAAGAAGCACGGGCUAACUACGUG
rnacentral:rRNA from 1 species